CCCUCCCGUCUCCCCAUCCGGUCACGCAGGGAAGCCCUGCCCUUGUCCCAUCCGCCCCGUCCCCCAUCCAUCUCUUCCCCAUUCCCUCUUAUCCUCUUGAACCUCCUACAUGGCCCUCAUGGCCUCAUGGGCGCCGCCUCUGACCACCGCAUCCCCGCCUUAGUGGACGCCUCCUCCCCGUCGCCGAAGCAGGAGAAGCCCACAAACUCGCACGGCUACGGCGGCCCUAGAGGACCACACCGCCACUAUGGCUCCUCCCGCGUUGAGAUCGGAUGGGCAGACGCUUGCCUGCACUGCCGCUGAGGGAAGAGGGACUUCUUAGUCCCAACGUUGAGGAGUUUCUCGCCACCGUUGAGGAGUUUCUCGCCAUUGGCUACACGCAUCCGCCACGACGGCCCAAGAAGUUGUCGCGUUAUCUGCAGAAGCAGAUCGAUGUGUUGUGUCGGGAAUCACAUCUUUUCCUUUGGUCAUUGAUUUAACCAAGUUGAUUCUGCACAUUGGGUUGUGGUGUUUAAUUCUGCUUGUUUCUGAGUUGAUUCUGCACAUGGAUAAAUACUUUGGUAGUGUACAAUACAAAAAUAUGUGGUAGCCACCCUCCCUGCGAAUCUAUUCUAAUCUUUCUCAAGUUUGCGUACUUAAUAGAUCCAUUGGAGGAUUAAUGGUCUGGCUGCGCAAGGAGCGUCAAUUGGUACAGGCAAAGAGGUAUUGGGCAAGAGAUAAGCUAUACAGUCACACACACUAAUAUUUAUACUAUGGAGAAUGACAUCUUGAGGAGGAAUAGUGCCAGUGCUUGCCUUGGUUUCUGUACUUCUUAGGCUGAAGCUGAAGCAAGCCUCCCAUGACCAACAUCGGAUUAUAUAUUUCCAGACGUAUACAUCCGUACAUCACAGGAGAGGAGAGUAAAGACAACAGAGAAGCAAACACAUGGCCGAUGCUGCUGCAUGUGAAGCUCAACAGAGAAGAUGGAAGAGGGCGAGCACCAAAAACGAUUUUUUUUGUCCACAUGGAUAUCUUGAAUUUUGAUAUAUAUGAUUGCUUGGAUCUGUAGCUCCCAAAUGAUAGUGAUAUACCUCUCUAAAACAUUGCAAUUAGCUGUGUUUUUUCGUAUUUGCCGAUGGCAAUUUCUUGACCUGGUAAAUCCAUAUAGCUUCAGAGCGGAUGGGAAAGUCAAGGCAUUUUCAUCUGUAUAUGAUUAAUUGUCUUUCCUAUAGAGAAAUGAAAUGCAGUUGACCUAUUUUUUUAGAA